CCUACGGGUGGCAGCAGUGAGGAAUAUUGGUCAAUGGACGAGAGUCUGAACCAGCCAAGUAGCGUGAAGGAUGACUGCCCUAUGGGUUGUAAACUUCUUUUAUAUGGGAAUAAAAUGUUCCACGUGUGGGAUUUUGUAUGUACCAUAUGAAUAAGGAUCGGCUAACUCCGUGCCAGCAGCCGCGGUAAUACGGAGGAUCCGAGCGUUAUCCGGAUUUAUUGGGUUUAAAGGGAGCGUAGGUGAAUUGUUAAGUCAGUUGUGAAAGUUUGCGGCUCAACCGUAAAAUUGCAGUUGAAACUGGCAGUCUUGAGUACAGUAGAGGUGGGCGGAAUUCGUGGUGUAGCGGUGAAAUGCUUAGAUAUCACGAAGAACUCCGAUUGCGAAGGCAGUUCACUGGACUGCAACUGACACUGAGGCUCGAAAGUGUGGGUAUCAAACAGGAUUAGAUACCCUUGUAGUC
rnacentral:rRNA from 1 species